rnacentral:lncRNA from 1 species
GGGGUGAGAGGCAGGGAGGGGAUAGGAUUGAUUCCAGAGUUCUGGCUUGGCUGACAAGCUGGUGGAGGAGACAGAAGGAAAAACCAAGGGAGAGGGAUGCAUAGUGAGUUAUUAAUAAUAAGAUAUGCCCAUCAUCUCUUUUAAAAAUUUAUUUUUUGCCCAGUAGGAAAAACACUGUAAAUAACUUAGAUGUCAAUAGAGAGGAAGUUAAAUAAACUGUUAUAUCCAUACUAAGCAAUAUUAUGAAAUAUGAAAUAUGAGGAAAUAGUCACAAUAAUUUAUGCUUUGGAAGGGAGUCAUAAAAAAGUGUUACAGAGUAAUUCUGUUUUUGUAAAACUACUGUUAGUGUUUAUGUAUGCAUUUUUUUUAAAAAUUGAAAUAGUAAACAUCAAAAUAUUAAAAACAAUUAUCUCUUAAUGAUGAGUCACAGGGGAUUUUUACCAUCUUUAUGUAUUUCCCUCAUUCCUUCUCUAGGAACAAAAUCAAAGGUUACUAAUCCAUGUCCUCUCUAUAAAGAUGCAGAGUCUGAACUGAUGGUCCCUUAGAGCCAUGCCGAAGGGUCUGAAGGUGCUUCUGCCCCGCACCCUGCGUGUUCUGUCACAUGGAAAAGCAGCCCCUUGGGCCCAGGCAGCAGCUGGGCGGCUACUUCUCUGGGUUGUGAAUGGUGCAAUCCUUCUGGAGUUUAGACCCUAGUCUAGGUGGGACAGAAGCCACUAAUGAAUUGCAUCAGGAUCUCUGGCUUAAGAGGGCGCUGGGGGUGUUCCUUCCAAGUGGAUGAGGAGGACAGGGGUAAGAUGCUGUUGGGCUGGGCCACAAGUUCAUGACAGACAUGAAGAAAACCACAUUGAAUGAAUUGAUGAAGGGGCGAGAGCAACUUUGUGAAUCUUUUGGAUACAUUGGGAAUUCUUUUUAUCAAUUGAUGAGUGAAUUAAACAGGAUUAUAAAGAGAUUAAAUCACCAAAUACAAGUCACUAUAUGUUAGUUGCCCCCAGAUUAGUAGAGCUCAGUGCUAGUAAAAUCUAAAGGGUGAGAGACACCCCUGAGCCCUCAAGAUCCCCCUGAGUUCUGGAGUGAGAAGGCCUGUUCUUCUCU